rnacentral:rRNA from 1 species
CACUGCCGAGAAAAGCCUCUAGCUAGAAUAACGGUGCCCGUACCGCAAACCGACACAGGUAGUCAAGAUGAGAAUUCUAAGGUGAGCGAGCGAACUCUCGUUAAGGAACUCGGCAAAAUGACCCCGUAACUUCGGGAGAAGGGGUGCUCUUUGAGGUUCACGCUUCGAAGAGCCGCAGUGAAUAGGCCCAAGCGACUGUUUAUCAAAAACACAGGUCUCUGCUAAACCGUAAGGUGACGUAUAGGGGCUGACGCCUGCCCGGUGCUGGAAGGUUAAGAGGAGUGGUUAGCGCAAGCGAAGCUACGAAUCGAAGCCCCAGUAAACGGCGGCCGUAACUAUAACGGUCCUAAGGUAGCGAAAUUCCUUGUCGGGUAAGUUCCGACCCGCACGAAAGGCGUAACGAUUUGGGCACUGUCUCAACGAGAGACUCGGUGAAAUCAUAGUACCGGUGAAGAUGCCGGUUACCCGCGACAGGACGGAAAGACCCCGUGGAGCUUUACUGUAGCCUGAUAUUGAAAUUCGGUACAGUUUGUACAGGAUAGGUAGGAGCCUUAGAAGCGUGAGCGCUAGCUUACGUGGAGGCAUUGGUGGGAUACUACCCUAAUUGUAUUGGAUUUCUAACCCGCAGCACUUAUCGUGCUGGGAGACAGUGUCAGGCGGGCAGUUUGACUGGGGCGGUCGCCUCCUAAAGAGUAACGGAGGCGCUCAAAGGUUCCCUCAGAAUGGUUGGAAAUCAUUCAUAGAGUGUAAAGGCAUAAGGGAGCUUGACUGCGAGACCUACAAGUCGAGCAGGGUCGAAAGACGGACUUAGUGAUCCGGUGGUUCCGCAUGGAAGGGCCAUCGCUCAACGGAUAAAAGCUACCCCGGGGAUAACAGGCUUAUCUCCCCCAAGAGUUCACAUCGACGGGGAGGUUUGGCACCUCGAUGUCGGCUCAUCGCAUCCUGGGGCUGUAGUCGGUCCCAAGGGUUGGGCUGUUCGCCCAUUAAAGCGGUACGCGAGCUGGGUUCAGAACGUCGUGAGACAGUUCGGUCCCUAUCCGUCGUGGGCGUAGGAAAUUUGAGAGGAGCUGUCCUUAGUACGAGAGGACCGGGAUGGACAUACCUCUGGUGUACCAGUUGUCGUGCCAACGGCAUAGCUGGGUAGCUAUGUAUGGACGGGAUAAGUGCUGAAAGCAUCUAAGCAUGAAGCCCCCCUCGAGAUGAGAUUUCCCAACUUCGGUUAUAAG